GAUUAUCUUUCUUGUCGUCAGUCC
rnacentral:siRNA from 1 species